rnacentral:rRNA from 1 species
CCCUUAGAUGUUCUGGGCCGCACGCGCGCUACACUGAUGAAUUCAACGAGCACUAACCUGUGCCGAAAGGUUCGGGUAAUCUUGUGAAAUUUCAUCGUGAUGGGGAUUGAUUAUUGCAAUUUUUAAUCAUAAACGAGGAAUGCCUAGUAAGCGUGAGUCAUCAGCUCACGUUGAUUACGUCCCUGCCCUUUGUACACACCGCCCGUCGCUACUACCGAUUGAACGGUUUAGUGAGGGCCUCGGAUUGGUCUCGGCCCGCUCUUUACCGGGCGGCGCCGUUGGUCGAGAAGACGCUCGAACUUGAUCGUUUAGAGGAAGUAAAAGUCGUAACA